GACGAACGCUGGCGGCGUGCUUAACACAUGCAAGUCGAACGAUGAAGCCGGAGCUUGCUCUGGUGGAUUAGUGGCGAACGGGUGAGUAACACGUGAGUAACCUGCCCUUGACUCUGGGAUAUGCGUUGGAAACGACAUCUAAUACCGGAUACGAGCCAGGACCGCAUGGUCACUAGCUGGAAAGAACUUCGGUCAAGGAUGGACUCGCGGCCUAUCAGUUAGUUGGUGAGGUAACGGCUCACCAAGACGACGACGGGUAGCCGGCCUGAGAGGGUGACCGGCCACACUGGGACUGAGACACGGCCCAGACUCCUACGGGAGGCAGCAGUGGGGAAUAUUGCACAAUGGGCGCAAGCCUGAUGCAGCAACGCCGCGUGAGGGACGACGGCCUUCGGGUUGUAAACCUCUUUUAGCAGGGAAGAAGCGCAAGUGACGGUACCUGCAGAAAAAGCACCGGCUAACUACGUGCCAGCAGCCGCCGUAAUAC
rnacentral:rRNA from 1 species